UAUAUACUAGAAUCCUCUCUGUGUUCUGUUACCAUAGAGACGUGUAUAUACUAGAAUCCUCUCUGUGUUGCUCUGUUACCAUAGAGACGUGUAUAUACUAGAAUCCUAACACACAGAGAGAGGCGGGACUCUCUCUCCUGCCUGGCGUGACCCGUUACCAUGGUGAGGACUAGGAGAGGGGCUCAUUGGCUUAGUGAGGAGGGGGCUCCGCAGCGGUUUUUGGCAUGUUGUGUUAUUUCUUUAUAACACAAUAAUCUACAAAGCAGGUGGCUCUUUUACACUUGGGGUUUAAUAGGAAAGAACGUUUUCUUUCCCCCAAGUCGAGGUUAAUCCCUUAUUUUAUUUAUGAAUAUUGACUCAGAGUAUAUGUUAGGAUACAACAGAUUUGGCAUCCUUAUUUAUCCUGCUCCUUUGCACCCCAGUAUCUCUACUUGCACAUUCAUCUUCUGCACAUCCUACCAUUCCAGUGUUUAAUUGCUAUAUUGUAAUUACUUCGCCACUAUGGCCUAUUUAUUGCCUUAACUUACCUCAUUUCCACUCACUGUAUAUAGACUUUUUAUUUUCUUUGGUUCUACUGUAUUAUUGACUGUAUGUUUGUUUUACUCCAUGUGUAACUCUGUGUUGUUGUAUGUUGUCGAACUGCUUUGCUUUAUCUUGGCCAGGUCGCAGUUGUAAAUGAGAACUUGUUCUCAACUAGCCUACCUGGUUAAAUAAAGGACUUGUUCUCAACUAGCCUACCUGGUUAAAUAAAGGACUUGUUCUCAACUAGCCUACCUGGUUAAAUAAAGGACUUGUUCUCAACUAGCCUACCUGGUUAAAUAAAGGACUUGUUCUCAACUAGCCUACCUGGUUAAAUAAAGGACUUGUUCUCAACUAGCCUACCUGGUUAAAUAAAGGACUUGUUCUCAACUAGCCUAACCUGGUUAAAUAAAGGUGAAAUGAAAAUAAUCAGGUGACUGUCCUCUCUGUGUCCCCCAUCAGGUGACUGUCCUCUCUGUGUCCCCAUCAGGUGACUGUCCUCUCUGUGUCCCCAUCAGGUGACUGUCCUCUCUGUGUCCCCCAUCAGGUGACUGUCCUCUCUGUGUCCCCAUCAGGUGACUGUCCUCUCUGUGUUCCCAUCAGGUGACUGUCCUCUCUGUGUCCCCAUCAGGUGAUUGUCCUCUCUGUGUCCCCAUCAGGUGACUGUCCUCUCUGUGUCCCCCAUCAGGUGACUGUCCUCUCUGUGUCCCCAUCAGGUGACUGUCCUCUGAGUUCACCCCCCUCUUCCAGGAUGAACGGCUACCCCCCUCCCUCCUUCCCCCAGGGAGGGUUCGACUCAUACGCCUCGCAACUCAAUGGUCAUGGUUCCCAGUCCACAGAGCCUCCAGAUUGCAACGCCAGGUCCAACACCAAGUCCAUCUCUAAAACCCUUUACGGUACAGAAGCUACCUGUCAUGUUCUCUCUCUCUCCAUCCAUCCCCCUCUCUCUCUCUCUCUCUCUCUCUCUCUGUCUCUCCAUCCAUCCCCCCCUCUCUCUCUCUCUCUCUCUCUCUCUCUCUCC
rnacentral:lncRNA from 1 species